CUUAAUUGGUUUUUCAGCUCUCAGCUGAGAUCACAGAACCAUUAAAGUCCGAGCAGAUGGCUUCAAACAGCAUUGACAUAGGCUGGGAGAACACAGAUUAGGCCUAGAUUGGCUGGUUCCAAUGUUCUAUAUGGGUGUUAAUCUAUUUCAUCAAAAAUGUCCUGCACAGGAGAAGACCAGUCAAUGGGAGAAAUUGUGAAAUUUACUUCUACCCUGAAAUAUAGAUCUUUUUAGAUUUUACUCAGAUACUGGAAGCACUGAUGGUAAAAGGUCUGGCUAGCAACGGGUGGCAAAAGGCCUCCAAAGAACCUGAUGACAGUUGAUUUGAUGAUGUUUCUCUGUUUUGCAUAAAGACUUAUAUAGCUCUGU